GGAAUAGAAUGAUAGAUCAUUGGGUGUGAUGAGAAUUGAGAUACGUAGUUGAAGGGAUUUGGAAAGGCUCAAAUCUUAAAAUCUAGAGAGGGAUUUCUCUCUCUCAAUCAAUUUCUCUCUCUAAAUAUGAUGAUGACGAUGAUGAUGCAAAGUGCAAACCCUCUUCUAAGUCUUACCUUUCUCCAAUAAAUAUAUAGUAACUCUAGUCUUACAAUGAAAACAAUAAACCCUUCUAGCCCUUGUCCUCCUCUUCCUCUGUUUCUCUCUGUUAUUCCACUAAAAGGGGAGUAAUCUGUCUCUCUCUUGUCGCCUUCUUCCUCAAUUUUUUUUUCAGUUUCCUUUUUACGGGUAGGAUAAGAUCGGCAUUUUCCAUGGUGGACGACGGGGAAGCUCCGCCGGACCAUCUCCGUUGCCGGAGGAGUGACGGUAGAGAUUGGAGGUGUUUGAUGCCAGUCAUGGAAAACAGAAGCGUCUGUGAGUUUCACUUCCAUCAGGCUCGCUUGCGUCAGUCCAAGAAGAAGGUUCCUCCUUCUAUGAAGCUCAAGAGGAACACCCUCCGGGAGAAAGCCGCCGAAGUUUCGUUCGCGGUCGCCGGAAGGAAAGGUUUUAAUUUUCAGAAUCUUGGAAUUCAGCCGAAGGGUAAGGCGAAUUUGGCGAAAGUGUUGAAGAGGACGCGUGCAGUUCGGGUGGCGGACUCUCUGAUAAAGAUUUUGAAGAAGAUGAAGUCGAAAAAGGGUGACUUGCAGUUGGAAUUGAUAAGGGUUUUUCUGCGGAGGCAAAUGGAGAGGAAAAAGAAGCGAACUUCCGAGGGAAGUAACAAUGGGAGAGAGUUUAUGAGGGACCUGCCCAAUGGACUGAUGGCCAUUUCCCCUGCUCCCGUCAGGGAUUUUGGCAAUGCUGUUUUGUCUUUCGAUGGAAAACUAGGGCUUGAUUCUUAUGCUUCUUUUACACGACGCUGCUUCCGGUCCAAGAACAUUGAGCCUCUACCAGUUGGUCCGUUACAGAUUCUUCCUUGCGGGAGAAGCAUAUUGAAUUCGAGGAGAGGUGGGAAAAAGAUUUGCCAUCGGUGCCGAAGAAGUAAUGCUGAGAACCUUAUUCAUUGUUUGAAUUGCCGAAGAGAGUCUUUCUGCAUAGAUUGCAUUCGUGAAUGGUAUUCUGAAUUGCCACUUGAAGAAGUUAAGAUGGCUUGCCCCGUUUGUCGUUGCUCGUGCAACUGUAAGAUGUGCUUGAAUAAUCAGCCAAAAGAGAUUGCAUUGAAGUGUUUUUUGGAAGGUGAAGAUAAGGUUACCAAAAUCCUACAUUUUCAUUAUUUGGUCUGUCUGCUUCUUCCAGUUCUGAAACAAAUCAACCAGGAACAUAGGAUUGAGUUGGAAAUAGAGGCAAAACUUAAAGGAAAAACAACAGCCGACAUUGAGAUUCUGCAGGCAAAAUGUGGUAAUGAUGAGCAGCUUUGCUGUGAUAACUGCAAAUCUUCCAUCUUGGAUUUCCAUAGAAGCUGUUCAAAUUGUUCCUAUGAUCUCUGCCUUAGUUGUUGUCGAGAUAUACGUCAAGGCACCUUACCUGGAGGAAUUGGAGAAGUCCGGUUUGAAAGGAAAGCUUGUGCAUCUACUGGUGAGCUUCUUCCAGCAAUGAGGCAGAUAGGCUCUGUCAUGAAAAGCUCUGGUAGUGCAGUAUUAGCUUCUUCUGCAACACUUCCAGACUGGAAAUAUAGUGGUGACAGCUGUAUUUCUUGCCCACCCAAGGAGCUUGGUGGUUGUGGUGAAAGCCUCUUGGACUUGAGAAGGGUUUUCCCAUUAAAUUGGACUGAAGAACUGGAAAUAAAUGCUGAAGAAAUAGCCUGCAGUUAUGACUUUCCAGAAACUAUAGAUGUUUCACCACACUGCUCCUUAUGUAGUCUCAUGCAUGAUAAAGCUGGGGGACUUGAUGAGAAGUUGCAAGAAGCAGCUGCCAGAGUCGAUUCUGAUGAUAACUUCUUGUACUGUCCAACUGUGGAGGAUCUUCAGCAUGAAAGCCUGGAACAUUUCCAAAAACAUUUAAGUAAAGGUCAGCCGGUAAUAGUUCGUAAUGUGCUCCAGAAUACAUCAAACUUGAGCUGGGAUCCUGUGGUCAUGUUCCACAGUUUUCUUGAAAGGAGCAGCGCGAAACCUGGGAAUGAUAUCAAGACUGUGAAAGCCACUGAUUGCUUGGAUUGGUGUGAGGUAGAAAUUGGGAUCCAGCAAUUUUUUAAUGGUUAUAUGGAGGGGCGGACACAUGCCAAUCUUUGGCCUGAGAUGCUGAAAUUGAAGGAUUGGCCUUCUCCUGAUCUGUUUCAGGAACAGUUUCCUGCUCAUAAUGCUGAAUUCAUCCGUGCUUUACCAUUUCAAGAAUAUACAAAUCCUAACUCUGGUAUUCUGAAUCUUGCUGGCAAGUUGCCCAAGGAAUUCUCAAAGCCUGACCUGGGUCCCCGUGUAUAUAUUUCAUAUGGGAUAGCUGAGGAGCUUGGGCGGGGUGAUUCUGUAACUAAACUCUAUAUUGAUUCGUCUGAUAUGGUGAAUAUUCUGGCACACACAACAGAAGUAGCAAUUCCUCCAUUACAGGUAACUAAGAUACAGGAAUUAAAGAAAAAGCACAAAGCUCAAGAUAAGAAGAGGUCUCUCGGGAGUUCGAUGGAUCAGAGUACAAUAAAUGAUGUGAAAUGGAGGCCGUCUUUGUCUUGUGAAAGCGAAGAAGAAGCAGGCUGUAGCGAGAUGCUGGACGAUAAUGGAGGUACAUAUUUACCCAAGGGAGAAGCUGGAGUCUCAAAUUUACAUGCUGUCACAACUACACCUGAAGAAUGUGAUUGUAGCGUCAAAGUUGAGAAUAUCUCGGAUGUCGAAGAGUCCAACUCUGAUUCUGAUGCCUCAAAAGAUUGCUAUAGAAAUACUCGGAGCUUUGAAAAAUCUGAAGAUGAAGCAAUUUCUUUUCAGGAAGAAACAAGAGAACAUGUAUCAAAACUAGUGUCUGAUUCCUGUGGUGCCCAGUGGGAUGUGUUCCGUAGAGAAGAUGUUCCAAAGCUGCAAGAAUACCUAAGAAGGCACUUCAAUGAGUUCAGACAUACAUAUUGCUUUCCAGUUGAACAUGUUGCUCAUCCUAUUCUUGAUCAGAGCUUCUUUCUUGAUACAACCCAUAAAAGAAGGCUUAAGGAGGAGUUUGAAGUCGAACCUUGGACUUUUGAUCAGCAUCUUGGAGAAGCAAUCAUCAUUCCUGCGGGAUGCCCAUAUCAAAUUCGGAAUAUUAAGUCUUGCAUAAAUGUGGCUUUGGACUUUGUGUCACCUGAGAAUGUCCAAGAGUGUAUCCAGCUGGUUGAUGAACUCCGUCUACUUCCAAAGAACCACAAAGCUAAAGAAGACAAGCUAGAGGUGAAGAAAAUGAGUGUCUAUGGUAUUAGUGCAGCAGUUAAAGAAAUCCGGGAGCUGACAUCAGGUGCACUAUAAGUCGUCUCAAGCUUGGAGCUCCAAGUAAUAUGUAAUGCAAAACCCUAGGUGGAUUUCCUCUUCUACAGUCUUCUUCUCUUCUUCUUUCUGAGAGUUGCCGUUCUGUUCAUGCUUCCAUAGCAUGAUUGGUUCCAAAUGCAAAAGAAGAUGAGUUAUGGAGGAAAGAUGUUUGACAGAAAAACUUACACUCGUAUCUAUUCCCCUCGUGUUGCUAGAGAACUUGAUUGUCUUACAUGUUAAAUUGAAGUUUUGUGGACCCAUUACUCAUGUGAUUGGCACAUCUAUGAGGUUGCCUUUCGGAGGAGGUUGGCAAGGUCUCAAGGGAGGAUAGUCUCGGCAUAUCCUCAUUUCAGUUUUUCCCCUGCCAUGCAAAAAUUUUGUUCCGGUUGUGAAUUCUGCGGCUUUAUUCUUAUAGCU